rnacentral:rRNA from 1 species
UACGGAGGGUGCGAGCGUUGUCCGGAAUCACUAGGCGUAAAGCGCACGUAGGCGGAUGUGCCAGUCAGGGGUGAAAUCCCGGAGCUCAACUUCGGAACUGCCUCUGAUACAGCACGUCUUGAGUCCGGAAGAGGUGGGUGGAAUUCCUAGUGUAGAGGUGAAAUUCGUAGAUAUUAGGAAGAACACCGGUGGCGAAGGCGGCCCACUGGUCCGGUACUGACGCUGAGGUGCGAAAGCGUGGGGAGCAAACAGG